rnacentral:rRNA from 1 species
UUUAAUGAGAGUUUGAUCCUGGCUCAGGACGAACGCUGGCGGCGUGCCUAAUACAUGCAAGUAGAACGCUGAAGGAGGAGCUUGCUUCUCCGGAUGAGUUGCGAACGGGUGAGUAACGCGUAGGUAACCUGCCUGGUAGCGGGGGAUAACUAUUGGAAACGAUAGCUAAUACCGCAUAAGAGUAGAUGUUGCAUGACAUUUGCUUAAAAGGUGCAAUUGCAUCACUACCAGAUGGACCUGCGUUGUAUUAGCUAGUUGGUGGGGUAACGGCUCACCAAGGCGACGAUACAUAGCCGACCUGAGAGGGUGAUCGGCCACACUGGGACUGAGACACGGCCCAGACUCCUACGGGAGGCAGCAGUAGGGAAUCUUCGGCAAUGGACGG